rnacentral:rRNA from 1 species
CCUACGGGAGGCUGCAGUGGGGAAUUUUGGACAAUGGGCGCAAGCCUGAUCCAGCCAUGCCGCGUGCAGGAUGAAGGCCUUCGGGUUGUAAACUGCUUUUGUACGGAACGAAAAGCCCCCUUCUAAUAAAGGGGGGUGAUGACGGUACCGUAAGAAUAAGCACCGGCUAACUACGUGCCAGCAGCCGCGGUAAUACGCAGGGUGCAAGCGUUAAGCGGAAUUACUGCGCGUAAAUAUGGCGGAGGCGGUUGAAAUCCCCGGGCUCAACCUGGGAACUGCCUUUGUGACUGCAUAGCUUGAGUGCGGCAGAGGGGGAUGGAAUUCCGCGUGUAGCAGUGAAAUGCGUAGAUAUGCGGAGGAACACCGAUGGCGAAGGCAAUCUCCUGGGCCUGCACUGACGCUCAUGCACGAAAGCGUGGGGAGCAAACAGGAUUAGAUACCCCUGUAGUC